CUGCCCAGAGCUCUGAAUGUCAAUGAAGCACGGGUAAACAGUGGGAGUAACUAUGACUCUCUUAAGGUAGCCAAAUGCCUCAUCAUCUAAUUAGUGACGCACAUGAAUG
rnacentral:ncRNA from 1 species